UACGUCCAAAUCACAUUGAAACACCGGUUCAUGUACAAUCACCGAAGUUAAGCAACGUCAAGCCUGGUCAGUACAUAGAUGGGUGACCGCUUGCGAAUACCGGGUGCUGUAAU